UGGACAGAUUAUUGUAUUCGACUGUAUUCACGGUGUGAAACAGGGGAUUACACUGUUUUUAAACGGAAAGUGAAUCAAUUAACAUAAUAAGCUCCU
rfam:Nicotiana attenuata strain TT chromosome 3, whole genome shotgun sequence.